UACAGAGGGUGCAAGCGUUAAUCGGAAUUACUGGGCGUAAAGCGUGCGUAGACGGUAGCGUAAGUCGGGUGUGAAAGCCCCGGGCUCAACCUGGGAAUGGCAUUCGAGACUGCUCUGCUAGGGUGCGGAAGAGGGGAGCGGAAUUUCCGGUGUAGCGGUGAAAUGCGUAGAUAUCGGAAGGAACACCAGUGGCGAAAGCGGCUCCCUGGUCCAGCACCGACGUUCAGGCACGAAAGCGUGGGGAGCAAACAGG
rnacentral:rRNA from 1 species